UGCCCUGGCGGUGGGGGAGGGUGCCUCUGGUCUGAUGAGAAAGCGUAGUCUCCGUCAGUCAGAUGAGACGCCAAUCUAACCGAUCCACACAGAGAAAAAAGGAAAAGGGUGCAAAUGAGUGAGAUUCGAGGCAGAGCGAAUGGACACUGCAAACAGAGCUCGGAGCACAAGGGCAGAACCCCAGCACUGGUGUGGCCAGCGCCUCACUUCCGGCCGCCCCACCCUGUGUCCUGUGUGCCCAGAACUUGGACUCUCUCCCGUCUCCCCCUCCCUUGUCUCUUUGCACGGAAGACAAAUGGAGAUCCUGGAGGACAGGAAAGAAAGAUCAGGGAGGGAAAGAUUGCGGAGGGGAAGCCAUGUCACAGCAGAGCCGCAGAGAUGGGUGAAGUGUUUGCAGCUGCAGGUGAGAAGCGCACGCGGUCCUGCGUUAUCAGUGACACUCGCGAGGCCGUCUCUGCAUCAAAGACUCUGCAGUCCGGGGACUCCCGGGGCAGAGGGACCCAAGCGUAAAGUAGCUACACAGUUAAGAGCCUCCUUCACUCAAGCCGGUGUUCCUCACUCCGUCCAUUUACCAUAG
ensembl:lncRNA